rnacentral:rRNA from 1 species
AAUAGAUACCCCGGUAGUCCACGCCGUAAACGAUGAGUGCUAAGUGUUAGAGGGUUUCCGCCCUUUAGUGCUGCAGCUAACGCAUUAAGCACUCCGCCUGGGGAGUACGGCCGCAAGGCUGAAACUCAAAGGAAUUGACGGGGGCCCGCACAAGCGGUGGAGCAUGUGGUUUAAUUCGAAGCAACGCGAAGAACCUUACCAGGUCUUGACAUCCUCUGCCAACCCUAGAGAUAGGGCGUUCCCCCUUCGGGGGACAGAGUGACAGGUGGUGCAUGGUUGUCGUCAGCUCGUGUCGUGAGAUGUUGGGUUAAGUCCCGCAACGAGCGCAACCCUUGAUCCUAGUUGCCAGCAUUCAGUUGGGCACUCUAAGGUGACUGCCGGUGACAAACCGGAGGAAGGUGGGGAUGACGUCAAAUCAUCAUGCCCCUUAUGACCUGGGCUACACACGUGCUACAAUGGAUGGUACAAAGAGCUGCGAACCCGCGAGGGUAAGCGAAUCUCAUAAAGCCAUUCUCAGUUCGGAUUGUAGG